rnacentral:rRNA from 1 species
UACGUAGGUGGCAAGCGUUGUCCGGAUUUACUGGGCGUAAAGAGCGCGCAGGCGGCUGGUCAAGUCCGAUGUGAAAUCUCCCGGCUUAACUGGGAAGCUGCAUCGGAAACUGAUCGGCUUGAAGGUGGGAGAGGGUAGUGGAAUUCCCGGUGUAGUGGUGAAAUUCGUAGAUAUUAGGAAGAACACCGGUGGCGAAGGCGGCCCACUGGCUCGAUACUGACGCUGAGGUGCGAAAGCGUGGGGAGCAAACAGG